rnacentral:rRNA from 1 species
GAUGAACGCUGGCGGCGUGCCUAAUACAUGCAAGUCGAGCGAACAGAUCAUGAGCUUGCUCCUUUGACGUUAGCGGCGGACGGGUGAGUAACACGUGGGUCACCUACCUAUCAGACUGGGAUAACCUCGGGAAACCGGAGCUUACCCCGGAUAAUAUCUCGAACCGCAUGGUUCGAUAGUGAGAGACGGUUUUGCUGUCACUUAUAGAUGCAUCCGCGCCGUAUUAGCUAGUUGGUAAGGUAACGGCUUACCAAGGCGACGAUACGUAGCCGAACUGAGAGGGUGAUCGGCCGCACUGGAACGGGAACACGGUCCAGACUCCUGCGGGAGGCAGCAGUAGGGAAUCUUCCGCAAUGGGCGAGAGCCUGACGGAGCGACGCCACGUCAGUGGUGAAGGUCUUCGGAUCGUAAAACUCUGUUAUUAGGGAAAAACAGACGUGUAAGUAACUGUGCACGUCGUGACGGUACCUAGUCAGAAAGCCACGGCUAACUACGUG